GACGAACGCUGGCGGCGUGCUUAACACAUGCAAGUCGAGCGGUAAGGCCCUUUCGGGGUACACGAGCGGCGAACGGGUGAGUAACACGUGGGUGACCUGCCCUCAGCUCUGGGAUAAGCCUGGGAAACUGGGUCUAAUACUGGAUAUGACUCCACGGUGCAUGUCGUGGGGUGGAAAGCCUUGUGCGGCUGAGGAUGGGCCCGCGGCCUAUCAGCUUGUUGGUGGGGUGANGGCCUACCAAGGCGACGACGGGUAGCCGGCCCGAGAGGGCGACCGGCCACACUGGGACUGAGACACGGCCCAGACUCCUACGGGAGGCAGCAGUGGGGAAUCUUGCGCAAUGGGCGAAAGCCUGACGCAGCGACGCCGCGUGAGGGAUGACGGCCUGGUGUAAC
rnacentral:rRNA from 1 species